GCCAGAGUCUCGCUGCCUGUGUGGAAGAUGAAAAAAAGUGAAAAAAGAAGCUACCUAGGAAGAGGCAUUGAAAGGGCCGAUCAAGUGCCACCAAAUACACUGCCUUCACAGUUUUAUCUAGGGUUCUCAUCUGUAUGGUAUAAGGCAAGACAGCUAAUAACCCUGGUCCAUGACUUUUCUCGUCUUUGAAAUAGCAAUCAUGAUAACUACCUUCCCAAAUUGAUGUGAAUCUCACAUGAAAUAAUGUAGGUGCUCAGUAUAGCUAUUAGAAUUAUUAUGUUGCAGAAAGCAAAAAUAAAUCAAUUUCAUAUGUGGGAAUAAUUCUCAUACUAGUAAAUGGCAUCUAGCAUUAUGUUUGUGCAGGUGUAUUUAAAAAUUGGCAUAAGUUCAGGAAAGGACAGAAAACAUACUUUGGUUAAAUCAGGCAGUUUUAUAUGAAAAAGCUUAAAUCAUAAGGGAAACAUUGUUCUUGGUUUAAUUACUCUAGAUAUUUAAAAUUAUAAAACAAGAUUUACUAUUGAGUAGGCUAAGCCAUUUUGGUUCUAGUUAUGGUAUUGUUUCUUCAAUAUUUACAUAAUCAAAAAUUUUAUUUUGUGCAUCAAAAUCUUAAUUAUCUAGAAUCUGAUUAGAGAGUGGUAGAGGUGCAAUUAUUUCUUCAAAUUCUUACCUUUGGUUAAGACAAAAGGGGGCUCAGAGGUAUAAGGUAAGUAGAAUUUCAGGUUAAAUGAACAGAGUAGCAUUUUAUAUUUUGAUAGUAUUGCCUGGAUUAAAAAAAAUUCUAUGUAAAAUAAGAAUGGAAAACACUUCAUAUUAUAUCCACCCCCUUCCUCCACCCCAGCGCAGUCACAAUGAAUGUUAAAGACUUGUGAAGUCUUCAAAACUUGUUUUUUU